CGAGGUGAACAUGAGAGUUUGAUCCUGGCUCAGAACGAACGCUGGCGGCAUGCCUAACACAUGCAAGUCGGACGCCGCUGCCGCCUUCGGGCGGCAUGUGGAGUGGCGGACGGGUGAGUAACGCGUAGGAACCUGCCCGGAAGUGGGGGACAACCGCUGGAAACGGCGGCUAAUACCGCAUACGCCCCAAGGGGGAAAGGCUUCGGCCGCUUUCGGAGGGUCCUGCGUUCGAUUAGCUAGUCGGUGGGGUGACGGCUCACCGAGGCGACGAUCGAUAGCUGGUCUGAGA
rnacentral:rRNA from 1 species